rnacentral:rRNA from 1 species
AUGGCAAUUGUCCAUACCUACGGGAAGCCUGACAUCUUCUUGACCAUGACCUGCAACCCUAACUGGGAAGAGAUAACGAAUGAGUUGUUUCCUGGUCAGACAGCGCAAGACCGACCUGAUCUUGUGCCUCGUGUGUUCCAUGGCAAGCUAGAGGCUAUGAAAGAGAUGUUGUUCAAGAAGAAUAUCCUGGGUGUUGUUGUUGCACAUGUAUACGUAGUCGAGUUCCAAAAGAGGGGCCUC